rnacentral:rRNA from 1 species
GAUGAACGCUGGCGGCGUGCCUAAUACAUGCAAGUCGAGCGAACAGAUAAGGAGCUUGCUCCUUUGACGUUAGCGGCGGACGGGUGAGUAACACGUGGGUAACCUACCUAUAAGACUGGGAUAACUUCGGGAAACCGGAGCUAAUACCGGAUAAUAUUUCGAACCGCAUGGUUCGAUAGUGAAAGAUGGUUUUGCUAUCACUUAUAGAUGGACCCGGGCCGUAUUAGCUGGUUGGUAAGGUAACGGCUAACCAAGGCGACGAUACGUAGCCGACCUGAGAGGGUGUCCGGCCAAACGGGAACUGAGACACGGUCCAGACUCCUACGGGAGGCAGCAGUAGGGAAUCUUCCGCAAUGGGCGAAAGCCUGACGGAGCAACGCCGCGUGAGUGAUGAAGGUCUUCGGAUCGUAAAACUCUGUUAUGAGGGAAGAACAUACGUGUAAGUAACUGUGCACGUCUUGACGGUACCUAAGCAGAAAGCCACGGCAAACUACGU